GGCCUGGUAGCUCAGCUGGAAGAGCGUGGUACCAUUGCAACAGAUUUAAAUCUCAGUGGGAGGGCGGUGGUGCGAGUCCACCUCGGGGCC